rnacentral:misc_RNA from 1 species
UCCGAAAGACAUAGGAACGAUUAUUGAAAAGCGUAGGAACGAUUUUUGAAUAGGAACGAUUAUUGAAAGGCGUAGGAACGAUUUUUGAGUACGCGCAUUGUAAAGCCGUAUGGGCUCUUUGAUUUGUUUAUAUUUUUGCGUAACUAAAUUAUAUUUGGUAAUUCAACGUAAUAAUCGAAGAAAAUUCUGACAAGUUUUAAUUUUUAAAGCAUUAAAGCCUUGGUAAAUUAACAUUUAAUAAUGUAUUCAAAUAGAAGAAAUCAUGAAGUCAAUAUAUUAACAGAGGAAUUAAAAUAUUUUCGUGCUUGUAGUCAGGAAAACGAAUUUAAAAAAGUUUUUAUUGAUAAUGUAAUAGGAUAUGGAGUUUUCACUAUACGAGAGUUUAAAGCUGGCGAUCCUUUGUUAGAGUAUAAAGGAAAUCUUAUAACAAGAAAAGAAGCUAAAGAAUUAAGCAAAAGUUAUUCUGCAAAAAAUAAAGGAUGCUUUAUUUUUGAUGUUUACUGGAACAAUAAAAAUAUGAGCAUUGAUGCUACACAAUCAACAUGCAUGGCUAAAUUUAUUAACGACUCUCCAGAUAAAUAUGCCAAUUGUCAACCCAAGACAUGCGUUGUAAAUGGAAUACCCCAUCUUUUGUUAUAUGCAAAAAAGGAUAUUGCUAAAGACUCAGAACUUAGAUAUAACUAUGGGGACAGUUCUAAUCAACAAUGGAGAAAAUUGGCAAAGUAUCAGGAACCAUUUACUAUGAGUGAAGUUAAUGCAUAUCUACGAGGACAGCCUUUGCAGAAAAAUCGAAUUCUAACAGCAUCAAUGUUGUUUUCAUCAUUUAAUAAUAAAAAGUCUGAGUUGAAAAAGGAUUUAAAUAGUUGCAUUUUGUCAUCUAAUCAAAUGAAAAUCAAUAAUUUCAAAAAAUGUAAGGAAGAUUUACCUGAAAAAAGUAAUAAAGAUACAAUUUCAGGAGGCUUAUCACAAGCAUUUGGUUUUGAGAAGUGUACUGAGUUAGAAGAACAAUAUAAUCAAGCAUUAAAUAAGUCCUAUUUAAGUUUCAGCAAUGAAGAUAUUUUAUUACCAGAUGAAACAUUUUUAAAAAACUCAUCUCAGAUAUAUAGUUUAGAAGAAAGUGCUUGUGAAGAUAACUCUGAAAAUUUGUAUUCAAAUUCAGUUAACAGUAAAAAAGUUUCACCUCGAAUGAUAGUUGCUGCCAGAUGCUUGACAGAUAUAUCAAAAAGAAAUGAUUCUGAAACCAAUAUCUCUAUGUUCACUAGUGAAACUUCACUCACAAGCAAUGAAGACUUACCUGGAAGAAGUAAUAAAGAUGCAGUUUCAGGAAGCUUAUCACAAGUAUUUGGUUUUGAGAAGUGUACUGAGUUAGAAGAACAAUAUAAUCAAGCAUUAAAUAAGUCCUAUUUAAGUUUCAGCAAUGAAGAUAUUUUAUUACCAGAUGAAACAUUUUUAAAAAACUCAUCUCAGAUAUAUAGUUUAGAAGAAAGUGCUUGUGAAGAUAACUCUGAAAAUUUGUAUUCAAAUUCAGUUAACAGUAAAAAAGUUUCACCUCGAAUGAUAGUUGCUGCCAGAUGCUUGACAGAUAUAUCAAAAAGAAACGAUUCUGAAAGCAAUAAUUUGAUAAAUGCUAAUGAAACUCCACUUAUAACAACAGAGCGCUGAUGUUUGUAAUUCAAAUAAUAAAUUAUUAAAUGGGUUAGAAGAGAGCACUGUGAUUGAUUGGGGAUGUAGCCAACAUUUAAUGUAAGAAUGCUGCUUUUCUCUUUCAAAUAACAUAAUAAUUAAAAAGUUUGUUUUCUUUAUUAAAUUUUAAUUAUUAAUAUGAGAUAUGCACUAAUUCCUGUAAGAUAUUUAGCUUUGAAGACUCAACAAAAAUGAUUAAUGAAGAUACAAUAUUAGCAGAUAUAUUUCAUAUAGACGACCAAAACAAUAAAAUACAAUGUAAUAGAGAAACACUUACCGAAAAUUCAUCACAAAUAUAUUGAAACCAAUGAAAGUUUCUUUCAGAAAUUAAUGGCAGUGAAGUGGUACCUACAGUUGCAGCUCAAAAUAAGUAGGUUUGAAACUGUCUUUGUGUUGAUUGUGUUCUUUCUUUUAAUAUUUUCUUUACUUGAUAAAAUUAGUAAACUUUGGCCAAAUUUAAUUAGUAAUUUAGUAAUUUGCCUUUCAUUUUUGUUUUUCAGUUCUACUUAUAGAGCAAUACGUGGUAUAGAUACAAAGACGUGGUAUUAAAAAAUGCUACAGUUAAAAAAAAUCGUUUUACGAUUUUUUUGAGGUAAUUGUGAGCCUAAGGCUGAUGAUAAAUAGUACAUCUGGCUCCGUAUAUAUGUAUACACACAAACACACACAAGCUAUUUACAAAUCGAUAUUUCUAUAUUUAGGGUAAACUUUAGGCAAAGAAUGCGAGGAACUGUUAAACUGUUAUGAACAUAUUAUGCACUAUACCAUAUCAUGCACUACACGUGGCGCUCAGUUUACUCGACGAUCCAACUUAACAGGAUAUUAUCCAUUUUUCUAAUAUAUAUACAUAGAUGCAAAGUAUUCAAAAUGAUUAUAUUGUUAUUUAUAUAUUUAGGAUACAUUUAAACUAAAGACUAUGAAGAGCUGUAAAACUGCUAUUGGCAACAGUUGAUAAUACUAGACGCAUGUGUUAGUAAGUAAUUUGAAUCUCUGGUUGGAAUUCUUUUAAAUGCUUUUAUGCUUUUUACCCAUUGUUGCUGUGGAAAAGCUCAAUACCAAAGAUUUAAUAAAGGCAGAGUUAGGCAGGGUCGAAGGAUAUUUUUCGAACUAAUAAUCCAUUGUAGUGAAAAACGAACUAGUUCAAUCUUUUAAAAAAAAAAAGUUUUUUAGAUCAUAAUCGUCUUUGAAGUAAAAAAGUAAACAUGCCCAGUGGGCACAAGAAGCGUUUUAAACGUCUAAAUCACGUAUUAAAACGUUUUAAUACAUAUUCUAGACGUUUAAAACACGUCUCGUGCCCAUUGGGUGAUUUGAAGUAAAUUUCCAUUUGUUUUAUUUUUUUCAAGAAAAAAAAUUUGAAACUAAA